rnacentral:lncRNA from 1 species
GAAACUGAAGUGCUUUGAAAAAUUUCAUAACUAUUUUGAACAAUAUAGCUCUUAUUUUGAAAUUAAAAAUGCGACAAAAGUCAACUGGCGAAAAAUAAAAGAUAAUGCAUUGUUCUUUGUUCAGACAUGCUACCAUGAAGCUUUCAGGGCUCUGGUGGUUUUGACAGUCCAAUUGUUGAGGCACGCUCCUCGGCUUAAGGCUUGUAUGGAAGGGUCUUCCUUCCCCUCCUCCUCGAAAAUGACAUAACAAUUCAUGUCAUCCUCCUCCAAAAACAAAUCCCUCAUCGCUGCCAGUGUUUCCUCUUCUUCUGAUCUGCUCCAAACUUGGUAUCGGCUGAUCUAGCGGUAAUAAAGAACCACGCCAUGGUAGCGACUGUCACACCUCGUUUUACCUACUCUAAGAAGGGUAUAAGGAGUUUUCUUCAAUUAAAGUGACAAUCGAAGCAGGAUUAAUUAUUUAAAAUUCAUAGUCACCACUUAGAAUAAUUAUGGUGUCCCAAGUUACCGAUUUAUAAUCCUAAAUCGAGGAAAGGAUUGAGUAUGUAUUACAGUCCACGAACCAGAAACCCGAGUAAGGAAUUAUGUUAACCCGGGAGAAGUGUUAGGCAUUCCCGAGUUCCGUGGUUCUAGCACGGUCGCUCAACUAUUAUAAUCGGCUUAAUUAUCUGAUUUUAAAAUAUUUUGAACCUAUUUGCAUUUUUACUUUAUAUUUCUUUUAAUUCAUUUUUAGGAAGAUUUCAAUAUUAUACAAAACACGUCUUUGGAUCACGCCACAUGAAGCACCCACGAUGAGUGACAAAUUUUAUUUAACAUUAUUAGGAUUUAUAUUUGGGUCACAUUAAAUGAACACCCGAGUUUAGGAAGGUAAUUUAAAAUAACAGCAUAAAGCAACUAUGCAUUUUUAACUUUGCAAAGGCCAUGAAAAAUUUGCCAAAUAGCACGCUUCGAGUUCUAAGGAUUUAAUAAGAGAUAACUAAAUGAGGGUCAUGCAUUUUUAAAUUUUAUUUGACAUGGUACACCUCAAUCUAGGCCAAAUCAAUCAAAGCAACACCUUGGGUUCUUUAUCCAAAUAUCAAACCAAUUAUAAGAGGCCAAAUUAAUGAAACAAGUAUAUAUGUCUUCCUUUUCUCAUUCAUUUUAAUUUAUAAAGAAAAAAAUACAGUUAACAUAGGCACGUCACAUAUCUGAAACUGAAACUGAAACUUUGCAAUUGAAAUAGCCAAGAAUUUUACAAUCAAAAACAGACAAACCAUAAGAGAUUACGAUUUCAAAACUUGCCAACCACAAUAAUAACAAUGAAAUUCAGCAAGUAAAACACAAAACAAACCAUAAGAAAUUAAAGACUCCUUCAUACAGAUUUCACAAAAAACCAAAACAUGUGUUUCAUAACAUAGUACCAGAAUAAGAAUACUAUGAAAGACUAAACUUCAUGCUAACGAAAAUAGCAGUGUUAUCGAGCAGAAACAGCAGGACAGAUCGAAACCACGAACCUCAGAUGGAACUGAAAUCGGCAACUUUGCGACUGAACACAGACCUCACGUGUACUGGAAAUGAGUUGACGGAAAACAUGUAUAUUUGGUCAGAUCCGUCAUCCUCGUCACAGCGGUAAUAAAGAAAAACAGAUGGACAAGGGAGAAAGAAGAACAGUUGCCGUCGCCGGAGCUCAAAACCGAAUAGAUCGGCGUUGAAGCUUCACUCUCCGAUCUGAACCUUCGAGCCAAACUCCAACGAUAAGUAUCGAUUUCUCCAACAAGUGUAGCUCCAUUUGGUUGCGACAGUAGGUUGUGAGUAUGGUUGCUGAAGGAUGUGAGGAUGAAGAAGAAGACCGGCGGGGUGGGAUCGCUUUUCUGUUCUCCGCAGCUUCCCGCUUUUCUGAUGCCUAGGGUUGCUUUUGUGUCCUCAUGAAGAAGAAAAAGUGUGGGUAAGGGGCACUUUGGAGAAGAUGAUGCGGGGGAGGGGUGUCUGUGGUAUUGCGGCCGAAGCUUCCUCCUCUUCUCUAGGAUUUUUGUUAUGGUUCCUAGUAUUGUGAAGAAGAUGAGUCCAUUAGGUUUUCACAUAACGGCUAAAGCUCCAAAUUGUCUAGGGUUCAUUUUUAAAGCUUUUUCUAGAGUUGUAGUGGUAUUGGGCUUGGUUCGGAUCAACCCGUUUGGGGUUGGGUAAGGAGAUGGAGUAGUUUAAGUGAAGGAGUGGUAUUGAAAGAUUUGGGCUCACUCAUUACAUAGCCCAAUUUCGAAUUUAAGACCAAGCUUUGCAAUUUCCUUUUCUUUUUGUUUUCUUUUCUUUAUUUAUUUAAUUAAAACUUAAAUUAAA